AUACCUUUCUCGGCCUUUUGGCUAAGAUCAAGUGUAGUAUCUGUUCUUAUCAGUUUAAUAUCUGAUACGUGGGCCAUUGGUCCGCUCGAUAUUAAUCUUAUUUUUUAUGGGGAAAGGUCCAUCACAAUAGCUUGCUAUUGGGGCCUUUGAGCGUCGCCUAGGCGUUGCACUACUGCCUUGGCCUGGCGCACCCCUC
rnacentral:snRNA from 1 species